rnacentral:rRNA from 1 species
AUUGAACGCUGGCGGCAUGCCUUACACAUGCAAGUCGAACGGUAACAGGUCUUCGGAUGCUGACGAGUGGCGAACGGGUGAGUAAUACAUCGGAACGUGCCUAGUAGUGAGGGAUAACUACUCGAAAGAGUGGCUAAUACCGCAUGAGAUCUACGGAUGAAAGCAGGGGAUUGCAAGACCUUGUGCUACUAGAGCGGGCGAUGGCAGAUUAGGUAGUUGGUGGGAUAAAAGCUUACCAAGCCGACGAUCUGUAGCUGGUCUGAGAGGACGAUCAGCCACACUGGGACUGAGACACGGCCCAGACUCCUACGGGAGGCAGCAGUGGGGAAUUUUGGACAAUGGGCGAAAGCCUGAUCCAGCAAUGCCGCGUGCAGGAUGAAGGCCUUUGGGUUGUAAACUGCUUUUGUACGGAACGAAAAGCCCCGGGUUAAUACCCUGGGGUCAUGACGGUACCGUAAGAAUAAGCACCGGCUAACUACGUGCCAGCCGCCGCCGUAA